rnacentral:rRNA from 1 species
UGGCGAACGGGUGAGUAAUAUAUCGGAACGUAUCCAAUAAUGGGGGAUAACUAAUCGAAAGGUUGGCUAAUACCGCAUACGCCCUACGGGGGAAAGCAGGGGAUCUUCGGACCUUGCGUUAAUGGAGCGGCCGAUAUCUGAUUAGCUAGUUGGUGGGGUAAAGGCCCACCAAGGCGACGAUCAGUAGCUGGUCUGAGAGGACGACCAGCCACACUGGAACUGAGACACGGUCCAGACUCCUACGGGAGGCAGCAGUGGGGAAUUUUGGACAAUGGGCGAAAGCCUGAUCCAGCCAUUCCGCGUGAGUGAAGAAGGCCUUCGGGUUGUAAAGCUCUUUCGCAAGGAAAGAAAACUUACUUACUAAUACUAGGUGAGGAUGACGGUACCUUGAUAAGAAGCACCGGCUAACUACGUGCCAGCAGCCGCGGUAAUACGUAGGGUGCGAGCGUUAAUCGGAAUUACUGGGCGUAAAGCGUGCGCAGGCUGUUUUGUAAGUCAGAUGUGAAAUCCCUGGGCUCAACCUAGGAACUGCGUUUGAAACUACAAGGCUAGAGUGUAGCAGAGGGGGGUAGAAUUCCACGUGUAGCAGUGAAAUGCGUAGAGAUGUGGAGGAAUACCAAUGGCGAAGGCAGCCCCCUGGGUUAACACUGACGCUCAUGCACGAAAGCGUGGGGAGCAAACAGGAUUAGAUACCCUGGUAGUCCACGCCCUAAACGAUGUCUACUAGUUGUUGGGAGAGUAAAAUCUCUUAGUAACGCA